UACGGAGGAUGCAAGCGUUAUCCGGAAUGAUUGGGCGUAAAGCGUUCGUAGGCGGCAAUGUAAGUCUGCUGUCAAAGCGUCUGGCUCAACCAGAUAAAGGCAGUGGAAACUACAUAGCUAGAGUAAGGUAGGGGUAGAGGGAAUUCCUGGUGUAGCGGUGAAAUGCGUAGAGAUUGGGAAGAACAUCGGUGGCGAAAGCGCUCUACUGGACCGCAACUGACACUCAGGGGCGAAAGCUAGGGGAGCGAAUGGG
rnacentral:rRNA from 1 species